GAUGUAUUUCAUUAAUGAAAAAACAAUUUUUACUACUUUUUUAACAAAUAAGCAAAUAUUGCUGGAGCUGUAAACACUCUGUCUACAUAACAAAAGGAAUGCACAUGUAAUUUAUCCUAGGUUUUUAGUAAUUAUUUUAUUUUUGUUAGACUCAUUUUACUUUUGUUAGAUGCACAGUAAACAGUGAAAAGAUGUAACUUGCAUUAAUUUAAUGCAUCAGAGUAAACAGGACAUGGAGAUUUUGGUGAAAGCACUUUUUAUAUAUUGCAUAACACUGAUUUAAUUUGUAGUAGAUAAUAAAGCUUAUUUAGACAGUUCCAAUGGACAAGAGAAAUCCAGGUCCAAAAGUGAUGUUUGCAUGAUCAUAGGAGCUUUUAAUGUGUUUUAUCUUAUUGGAGGGAAAAGGGGAGAGCAAAGGCAUCAUCUCAUAAAAGCACAAGAAAAUUCAUGUUGGUAACUGAAUUAAAUCUUUCCUGAGGUAAAUGCUUUCUAUUUAUUCUGUAAGGGAAAGUAAGGAUCUAUGAAGAUUUAAAUUGGGUUAAACCCUAGAAGCCAUAUGGGAACAAAAUUAACUCCCUAGUCAGAGAAAUGGUCUUAGAAAAAAGUAAUUAAAUUGCAACUAAAGUACUUUCAGGGAACACAGACUAGUGAAACCCCCAAAGUACAGAAUACAUAAUUUUUAAUAACAGUACUAUUAAAUCUGACAAUGUGAGCUUGUCAUAUAAAGCAUUCCAUUGAUUCAUCAUAAAAAAUUGCCCAAAUAGUUCUCAUGACAGACUUCACAGAUUGUCUUAAUUUUCUUGAUUGAUAAAGACCUCUUUAAAAUUCCUGUGAUGCUAGGUAAAGUCAAAAAUGGUCAAAUAAUUUAGCAAAUGUUUUAAUGCAAUAUCCAUACUAACCUGAAUUAUAACAAAUUCAGUAUUUUAUACUACUCAAGAUACAGCAGAUGAGGCCCCAAACAGGAAGUUUUGACCACAGUAGUACAUAAAAUCCAUUGGUGUGAUUAUUCUCACUGCCUGUCCUUACCCUGAUGCGGGAGUGAGGAGACAGCAGCAGGAAGGACUAAAAUCUCCUUUCAGUUCUAGUGGUGAAAACACUAAGACCUACAGUUGUUCAAAUUCAGGUACUGAUUAUAUCUUCAAAAACAUUAAUGUUAUCCGAGCAUUUGAAUAUUUUAUCCAUUGAUUCUAAAUGGAAUAUACAAUUGAUACUAGAUCUAGUAUAAUACCUACCUGGGAAUAACACUUAAAUAUUU
rnacentral:lncRNA from 1 species